rnacentral:rRNA from 1 species
GUGUGACUGCGUACCUUUUGUAUAAUGGGUCAGCGACUUAUAUUCUGUAGCAAGGUUAACCGAAUAGGGGAGCCGAAGGGAAACCGAGUCUUAACUGGGCGUUAAGUUGCAGGGUAUAGACCCGAAACCCGGUGAUCUAGCCAUGGGCAGGUUGAAGGUUGGGUAACACUAACUGGAGGACCGAACCGACUAAUGUUGAAAAAUUAGCGGAUGACUUGUGGCUGGGGGUGAAAGGCCAAUCAAACCGGGAGAUAGCUGGUUCUCCCCGAAAGCUAUUUAGGUAGCGCCUCGUGAAUUCAUCUCCGGGGGUAGAGCACUGUUUCGGCAAGGGGGUCAUCCCGACU